rnacentral:misc_RNA from 1 species
GAUGAAGAACGUAGCGAAAUGCGAUAAGUAAUGUGAAUUGCAGAAUUCAGUGAAUCAUCGAAUCUUUGAACGCACAUUGCGCCCCCUGGCAUUCCGGGGGGCAUGCCUGUUCGAGCGUCAUUUCACCACUCAAGCCUCGCUUGGUAUUGGGCAACGCGGUCCGCCGCGUGCCUCAAAUCGACCGGCUGGGUCUUCUGUCCCCUAAGCGUUGUGGAAACUAUUCGCUAAAGGGUGUUCGGGAGGCUACGCCGUAAAACAACCCCAUUUCUAAGGUUGACCUCGGAUCAGGUAGGAAUACCCGCUGAACUUAAGCAUAUCAAUAAGCGGAGGA